AACGAACGCUGGCGGCAUGCCUAACACAUGCAAGUCGAACGAGACCUUCGGGUCUAGUGGCGCACGGGUGCGUAACGCGUGGGAACCUGCCCUUAGGUUCGGAAUAACUCCCCGAAAGGGGUGCUAAUACCGGAUAAUGUCUUCGGACCAAAGAUUUAUCGCCUUUGGAUGGGCCCGCGUUGGAUUAGCUAGUUGGUAGGGUAAAAGCCUACCAAGGCGACGAUCCAUAGCUGGUCUGAGAGGAUGAUCAGCCACACUGGGACUGAGACACGGCCCAGACUCCUACGGGAGGCAGCAGUGGGGAAUAUUGGACAAUGGGCGAAAGCCUGAUCCAGCAAUGCCGCGUGAGUGAAGAAGGCCUUAGGGUUGUAAAGCUCUUUUACCCGGGAUGAUAAUGACAGUACCGAGAGAAUAAGCUCCGGCUAACUCCGUG
rnacentral:rRNA from 1 species